rnacentral:lncRNA from 1 species
CGCAAUACUUGAACAUACAUCUGGACCUUAUUCAAGUGCAACAUAUAUUGUGUCGAAGUAAACACAAGAUAUCGAAGUUUGGUACAAACAGAACAUAAAAAAAACAGUACACUUUAUAGCACAACAAACAAACGUAAUGUUUUUCUUGGUUUAGUAUGCAACUUGAAACGUUUUCCCAGUAGCGUUUUCAUCUUAGCUUCAUCACAUUGUAGGCUUUACAGUGAGACGAGAAGCGACCUUCUGACCACAAGACUUGUCAGCCUGCAAUGAAUCCGCGCAAAAGAUUAGUUUUCGUUUCCCGCUCUUAAUGUAAGGAUAAAGAAUCAUGCGAAAGAAGAAAAACUCAAACCUG